rnacentral:tRNA from 1 species
GCGCUUGUAGCUCAGUCGGUAGAGCAACUGACUUUUAAUCAGUGGGUCCGGGUUUCGAGUACCCGCAAGCGCACCA